CCUACGGGAGGCAGCAGUGAGGAAUAUUGGUCAAUGGACGAGAGUCUGAACCAGCCAAGUAGCGUGAAGGAUGACUGCCCUAUGGGUUGUAAACUUCUUUUAUAAAGGAAUAAAACGAGGCACGUGUGCCUUUUUGCAUGUACUUUAUGAAUAAGGAUCGGCUAACUCCGUGCCAGCAGCCGCGGUAAUACGGAGGAUCCGAGCGUUAUCCGGAUUUAUUGGGUUUAAAGGGAGCGUAGAUGGGUUGUUAAGUCAGUUGUGAAAGUUUGCGGCUCAACCGUAAAAUUGCAAUUGAUACUGGAAGUCUUGAGUACAGUUGAGGUAGGCGGAAUUCGUGGUGUAGCGGUGAAAUGCUUAGAUAUCACGAAGAACUCCGAUUGCGAAGGCAGCUUACUAAACUGCCACUGACAUUGAUGCUCGAAAGUGUGGGUAUCAAACAGGAUUAGAUACCCGGGUAGUC
rnacentral:rRNA from 1 species